UACGUAGGGGGCAAGCGUUGUCCGGAUUUACUGGGCGUAAAGAGCUCGUAGGCGGUCUGUCGCGUCGGCUGUGAAAACCCGGGGCUCAACCCCGGGCCUGCAGUCGAUACGGGCAGACUAGAGUGCGGUAGGGGAGACUGGAAUUCCUGGUGUAGCGGUGAAAUGCGCAGAUAUCAGGAGGAACACCGGUGGCGAAGGCGGGUCUCUGGGCCGUAACUGACGCUCAGGCACGAAAGCAUGGGGAGCAAAAGGG
rnacentral:rRNA from 1 species